GACGAACCGUGCGAACGUUGUUCGGAAUCACUGGGCUUAAAGGGCGCGUAGGCGGGCGAGCCAGUCCGGGGUGAAAGCCUCCGGCCCAACCGGAGAAGGGCCUUGGAUACUGCUCGUCUUGAGGGAGGUAGGGGCUUGUGGAACUUCCGGUGGAGCGGUGAAAUGCGUUGAUAUCGGAAGGAACGCCGGUGGCGAAAGCGACAAGCUGGCCCUCUUCUGACGCUGAGCGCGAA
rnacentral:rRNA from 1 species